rnacentral:lncRNA from 1 species
UUGGCCUAGGUACAUAUUCCUUCCAUCGAAAAAACUAUUAUUUUGGUCGUAGAUAAAAUCAAGGCUCAAAAUAAUAAUAAAAAAUGUUUUUCGCAUUUAAGACAAUUUUGUUCUCAAACUUAAAUGAAGUCACAUUAUACAAGACUAUGUUAGAAUCUCUACAUUAAGCUAGCUUUUUUGAAAACAAUUCUUUUUCAAAUUAGUUUUCUAAAGAGAAUUAAAGUUAUUUCUUCUCUAUCAAUUCCAUUCGUAUUCUCACGUUUCUACUUCAAGAAACAAAUAUGUUAUUUAGGAGCUUUAGUCUUAAGCUUCAUUUUCAUAAAAUGGAAGGUUUUGAUUUUCUUACUUGAUAACUGCAUUUCCACACAUGAGUUUACAGCCAAAUUUUUUAUCAUUUAAUCAGAGGCGUGGAGUCUCAUGUGACGACUUGAGCAGAACCAAUUUUAAUAAACAUAUUAAUUAUAAAUCAUAAUAAUUAAAUUGGGUGUUGUAUCACAUCAAUUAAUUGUUGGAAAAAUAUAUUGGUUGAGGUUUAGGUUAAAAAACUAAAAAGCUUAACUAAAAUAAGAAAUAAUACCAAUUUUAAAUUUUAACUAUUUCUAAAGUAUUUUUUUUAAAAAAAUAAAUGGAUAAAAACUGCUCACAACGUACUCGUUUGGAUUCAAAUACAAUUAAUAACUAUAUAUCAUUUUACAAAUAAAACAACACAAAUAAAGAAUUGAAUGAAGAAACAAAAUAAGGAAAAUACUUGAACAAAAACUAUGCAGUCUUAGACAUUUAAAUCAGCAAUUCAUUACAGCUUUUUUGUAUUUAAAUGACAAAAAUACAAACCAAAUAGUAAUGAAAUUAAUUAUGAUGUAUAUUCUAUAUAAGGAUAAUUUGGUGGGCUAUUUUAAAGAACAUCAUAUCUAUUACUUUAGAUAAAAAAAAAAUAAUAAAUGAAAGUAUUGCUUUUUUAUUAAGUUAAAUUUCUGCAUAAACUUAAUUCUUGCAAAGAAUUUUCGAUGUAAAACCAACCAUGUAAGCUCAUGUGUUGGAAUACAGUUAGCCUUCGAUUUUAUGAAAAUAAAGCUUAAGACUAAAACUCCUGAACAAAUCAUACGAAUAGAAUUGAUAGAGAGAUAGAAGAAAUAACUCUAAUUCUUUUUAGAACACUAAUUUUAAAGAGAGUUCGUUUUUCAAAGAGUUUGCUUAAUUUAUUUCAUAGAUUCUAUGAGUGGGUUCAAGUCUUCGAUAAUGUGACUUCAUUUAAGUUUUAGUUGUCUCAAAUGCAGGACAAAUCAUUUUAUCGCAUAUCUAUGUUCGGGACAAAUAAUUUGUUCUCUUAUACGAACACUUCAUUUAAUUCGCUAAUCUGAGCCUUUAACCCAAAAUUCUUGUAUCCUAAUUCAUCUUACUUCCUCACAACAUACAUAGACAUAAACAUUCUAAUAAUAUGAAAAUCUGGUAUAAAUUUUAGCCAUAUAUUUAGGAGAUGGUGAUGCAAUUUUAUGUCAACAUAAACAAAUGGUUCAUUAUUUGAAUCUAAGAUACAUCAUAGAUAAACUAACCUAUUGAAUUUAAGAUCUAUAUUUUAUAAAUAUUUUAAUUUAAUUUUGUUAUAUUCUUUUGAAAGAAAAAUGGUCAAAAAGAUAACAUUUACAAAAUAUUUAUAUUUAUAAUUUAUAGAAAAAUCAAAUGUAGUAAUUUUUUUUUUGUCAAUUUUUAAGAAAAAUCCCUAUUUGAAAAAAGCUUUUAAAAUCAGAAAUAUGAUUUUAUUGAUGAGAGUUGUGAGAGCUCAAAAGAGUAUUUUGAAGAAAUGUCUAUGCGGCCUAUCCCCUUUCCCCUUUCCCCUUUCCCGAUUGUCGCUUACAUUCUACAAAGAAAUAAAUAAAUAAACCUACAGUGAAAUGUUCUCCAAUGUACUUAUUACAACCCAGAAUUAAGAAGGAAAAAUGAAGUGGAGAAACGCACGAGAAAGGGUAAUGGGUCAUUCCUAGGGAUGGGGACAUUGGGGAGGAGAACUCAUCUUUGUUGAUAUCAUUCAUCCAAUUUGCUAUUCAUAAAGCUAUUGAACAAAACCCAGCAUUUAUUUUUUCCUGAAAGCUGAAACCGAGUAAUCAUUUGAAGGAAUAAUAAUAAUAAUAAUAAUGCACAUAAAAUCUAAGAAGAAGAAGACAGAAAUUCUACAUGUACACUUUCUGGCGGUCUCUGUCUGUCAUGUGCAUUGAAAGAAGUGCUCCAGUGAUGCCGACGUGAAAACAUUAGAGGCCAUCCUCUCGGGCUUCACUUCAGAUACGUGAAGCUGACACUUGAUGAAUCUCUGUGGCAUUUUAAAUCAAACAAACUUCGCAGAUUCGUUUUGAAAAAUAUGUAAGAUUUCAAUGUAGCACAUGGUUUUUAAAAGUUAUGCUAGUUUCCUAUAAGGUAAUGUUUGAAUUCUUAGUUAAAUUCUAAAAAUAAAAACAAGUUCCAGGUAGAUUGUAGAUAACAUAACAAAGUCUACAAGUGCCUAUAGCUAAAAGUAGAGUGUUCAUAAGCUUGAUUUUUAAGUUUAAUUUUUAAAGAUUAGUAAGUGGACCUUGGUGUGUGAUCACCCUCAAUAAACUUGGAUUACUAAAUUAUAUGGAAACAAACCGCUAAUUGAGAUAUGAUUUCAGGAUCUGAGUCGAUAUGCCAAUCAGGUUCCAGUUGCCGAACAAAAGACGUCCUCCCAUUUUCUGUACUACAGAAGAGAACCUAAACAAAGAAGUACAAAAUUCAACCAUGUAAACAUAGUUCAGCUAGCUUCUCACAGGAGGUCUUAAUGGGGAGGGAUGCCAAAAGCAUUAAGAAAUUUAGUAAGAAAAAGAAAUAAUAGACAAAAGGAUAUUAAACGCCCAACACACUGCAGCAACCAAGAAACAAGCAAAUAAAAUAUAACGUAAAACACUAGGAUCAAUUUAUCAACCUCAUAAGGAUAAGGAAACUAUGAACAAUAAGCAGUCGAAACUUAUGAAAUAAAUAAAGUUGAUAGGGCCAACCUUUUCCUUGAUCAAGCCACCUGAUGCGAAAACACCAGCAUCUUCUAGAGCCACAAUAACCUUUCUCUGCACAAAAUAUUUUUUCAGUAUUAAAACUAAUAAAAUGAUGGUAUAUGAAGAUACUGCAAAAGGAAAUGCCUUCGAACCAUGGAGUUUUAGGGAACAAGGUAGAUUGUAGCUCCCAGAUCAUAAACUGAGUACCAAAAAGCAUAAAGCUGUUGUAUAGAGUUAGAUUUUUAAUCCUCAAACCAUCCUUAUUAUUAUUAUUAUUAUUUUCUUUUUGUUUCAAGUUUGAGCGUAUUUUGACUGCAUACCACCAGGAGAGAGAGCACAAAUCUUCUAUGCCAACCAUUUAAAGUGAGCAUUUUGCAGACUUCACUUAAGUUUGGAAAGUUCAUCCUGAUAAAUUAGUCUCACCUCGCUUUCCUCAUCAAGAACUCUUUCCAUCAAAUAGAGAUCACAAUAAUUUGUGAUCUCUAAAAGCACAUCCACGACAGAGGACCUUACAGUUGCUUGAUUCUGUCAAUAGCAUUACCAAACAUCAACACAAAACGAUAAUUCUUUCUCAAAGACAAUUUCACUCCAAAACACAUAGAUAGGAAAAAUACCACAGCCUGCAGCUCUUCUGGACUUUUUUCCUCCAAAAUUAUUCCAAGCAGACGACAAGUUACCUAAAAUAACAAGAAUUGGAAUCAGAACUUAUCAUUACAAUUUGUAAACUGUAACAUACUUCUACAAGAUGAAAGGUCGACUUCACUGCGUAAGCUUUUGGGCACGUAGUAUGAUAAACAUUAACUUGAAAGGUUAAUCUUACGUGUGAUGAAUGGUCAAUGAGAUUAGACUUUAAAGGCUAUCCAUUUCUAAUCAAAUAACUCAUAUCUAGCUUUCACCAUAUGAAGGAUCAUCGGACAUGUUUUCAUUACCUUUCUUCCACCACCAAGCUUUUGUCUAACAAUUUGCUCCAAAGUUGGCUGAAAAACACCACACUCAUUAUAAACUAUGUAAUGAAUACUAAUAAAUUGUAAAAAUACACAUUUUUAGUCUAUGAAAAAGUUUUCACUCAGCUCUUAAGCUUGAAAAGGCAACAUAACCCUUGAGGUAUGAAAUCUGGUCCAAGUUGGUCUUUGAAAUGCAUAUUACAUCAAUGAUGCUAAUAGGAUCUAGUUAAAUGAUAUCGUAUCAAUGCUUAACUGACGUGUCAAGCAUAAUAAUUAAUAAUUAUAUAUACAUUGCAUGUUUGUUCUUCUUUCACAUAUCAAAUAAAUAAAAUUAAUACAACUUGUGACAUUAUCAAAAUUCAUUAGACAUGUAAAGCACAAUAUCAAUUAAUUUGCUCAAUAAAAUUUUUGCUAGUACCAGUAAGGGAAUAAUUAUUCUAGGAACCAAACUUCAGGAGUUAUAAUGUGAGAAACUUAAGGAUGAAAGUGAAAACUUUUUCAAACUACAAAUACAAAAGAUGUAUUUUUCCUAAACCACAACUGACCUUCUGUGCACCUGCGUCAUCUGAAGGAGAAAAAACUGCAGAAGUAAUCAAUUGUGAAUUUGAACUUGUGCUGAUGUCAGAGUUGCCUGCUGAAGAAGUUUGCCUUUUUGGUUGUCUUCUGCGAUGUCCACUAGGUGGUCUUAACAGUUUCCAUGAGAAUAUGACAGCAAGAGCCAAACCCGCAAUAGCACUAAGAGAUCGGAAAUUCUGCAACAAAUUAGAACAUGAAGCAUCAAAUUGUGAUCUUAGUUGAACAUCUGUUACACCUGCCACUGUCCAAAGAAAACAGACAACUCCAUCAAAAACAGGUAUUUCCAACAAAAAUUAGUACUUUGCAGCACCUGUGUUUUACUAAUGACACACACUGUGAUAGGAAUGCUAUGAGUAAAUAAUUAAAGUAUUAAGAGCAUAUUAGCAACUCAUUAAUGAGCCUGUUAGGGAAGUUUGAUUAUAAAUAGAGGUUAAGGGAAUGAGGAAGGUAAGCUAUAUUUUGAAGUAUGAACUACGACGUGAGAGCAUCUCAAGUUUGGGCGGGUCCAAGUACCUCGGACACUUGGUUUAUCAUGUAAUUCAAUAUCAUUUUAUAUUUAAUAUAUUCAGGUUCUAUUGUUUCUUUCCAGCAACCAUGUCACAAAAGUGCAUGCAACAACAAAAACAGGAGCUAAAAAACAAAAAAGUUUGUACUCGUAUUUCUAUCCUUAAAAAGUGUACAACAACCCAUCAAUAACUGUCGGAUUAUGCCCACUUUGGAUUCCUCAGGAUCUUGUCAACCUCAUUAGUUGAACUACUAGGAGCUCUGAAGACCGGAAAGUUGAAAUAUUUGCAAGGACAACUUAAACUAGAGUAAGUCUUCCUCCUUUAGAUAUGCUAGUUGGGGAUUCCUUUAGAUAUGCCUACUUUGAGGAUCGAUUCCCAUGGAAAGUUCCAAUUACCAAAGGGGCUACUAAGCUGAAGUGAAAGAGAAGUUAUUAGCCCACCACCACUAAUCUACAAACAUUUUUUUUAUAUAACAGCAUUCAUUGAAAAAAAAAAUUAAAGAAUACAAGAGCAUACAAAAACAAAGCCCACAAUAACAAAUUCCACUAAUGAAAGGGUUUCCAACUAACUAAGAUAUUGUCUAGCAAAUAAUAACAAAAGAUCUUCGAAAUCGAAGCCCAAAUAGAAACAUAGAACCUCGACAAGGACUAAAACUCACAAGGGUUCUUAUCCACACCUCAAAAUACUCCAUUGUUCCUCUCCCCCCAAAUAUCCCACAACAAAGCACACACCCCCAUGAAACACAAAAAACGACCUUUUUCUUUGAAAGGUGGAUGAAGGCAGAACUCCCCCAUCAUCAAACAAAUGUCCCUUUGGCGAGCAAUCACAAGCUCAAACUCCUAAGAUAACAAUUCUACACCAGUCCCGCAAACUUCCACUCCAAAGAAGGUGGUCAAAGUUUUCCUCAGCCUUCCGACAAACGAUACAACAAAAAUGAUCCAUUAACAAAGGCAUAUUUCUCGAGGUUCCAUUGUGUUCACACGGCUGAGAGAACUUGCCAAUGUCAAGGAAAACUUGACUUUCUCCAGACAUUGAUCCUCACCACUGUAUUGCAGAUUUAUGCAUCAAACCUUUUUUUUUCUUCUAGAAAAAAAAUCCUUUCAAGGACUACCAAAUAAGUGGUCAAUUUUUUAUUUGCCAAAGGGAGCAAGAGGAUUGUAAUUUGCAAACUGAGAUGAUCAACUUUGUUUCCAUGGCUCCUGGAAAAAACCUACUCAAGUCAAAAAAGGUACAGUAAUAAAGGAUCUCUUGGUCUCAAUUCAACUCUCUCAAGUGUUUAACUUCCCUCUUGAUCUCUCAUAAAAUAUAAGCUAUGAAGAUUGUAUGCAAAAGGAAUCCUCUGUUGCACAUUCCUGAAUUUGAGUCAAAGCCUUUUCCUUGAGAUUGGUAAUCACAAAUUCUGAUCACCAAACAGUACAGUUUCUCAUGGUUAAGUUUAUAGACCCCCCUUCUGCUUUUUUACUCCUCACUCAUCUUUGAGUGUGUUGAUAACAAGGAUGGGAUCCUAAACUUUUCCUUCUCCCACAAACACAACUUGACAUUUAAUAGUGAUUGAGGAAAAUUUGGCUACAAUCCCUCUUCCAACACUUUUUCCACCCCCUUCUAUUGAUGUUGUUAGAAUUAGCAGGCUUGUUGUAUGUUGAAAGCCCAAAGGUUUUCAGUCUUUUAUGUUUCCCUAAUGGUCUUUCAUUCUUUUAAUUAGGUUUGUAUUGCCUAUAAAUUAAUGCUCUCAUGUAUCAUUAGUUUUAUUAAGAAAGAUUUACACCGUAGUUUUUCUCCCAGAACUAGGGUUUCCACAUAAAACUUGUGUUUGUUCUUUGUCUCUACAUUCAAUAGAUGCUAUAUGUGAUAUUACCAUCCUGAAAUAGUCCUGUAACAUAGUCAUUACUCAUUGGAUGAUCUUGUUCCAAGACUUAUUAAAGGCAACGUGGACCAGGAUUGAAGACUACGAUCUACGAAUGAAAUUUCUUCAUUGAAUUUCAGUAAAACUUUGAAAUUGACACUUUGACAAGUGAGAUAGGAUCCUAGGUUAGAUGCCUGGGAAAGAAAUUUUUACCAUUUUUCUGUAGUCCACAACCUUUGAACAAAGAAGUAAAAAAAUUCAAGUUCUACUGUUGGUCACAAAUCGACUUCUCACAUCACUGGUCAGCACCUCCAAACAUCUACCUACAAUAAAGCUAUUUAUCCUGCUGGCCAUAAAAUUCUAUAGAAAAUGCUAGAGUUUCGAUCUCCCUCCUGAAGGGAUUUUGGUGUCACCUCUGAAGCCAUAAAACUUCCUUGCAUUGAAUCUAUGUUUUCAUUCAAAAUGCCCCUUUUGUCCGGCAACUCCAGGAUAAGGGAUUUUUUCUAUAAGCUCUUUAUUUAAAUAUUUGUCAUCAUUAUUAAUAUUAGUAGUAGUAUUAUUUUAGAUAUCAUUGCACCUUGACUAACAGCAAACAAAUAUGAAACACAAUGAUUAUAGCUAAAAUCAAACCACCAACUAGCAUCUGAGGUUACUGCUCACAAACAAUAAAAUCUUUUUAAGAAUUAGUAAAGUUACAGCUCUCGAUUCUGGCCAAUUUCAAACAAUCAUCAGACAUCAGUCAUAAUUUACCAGAGUGAUGGCAAGAACAUCACAACUUGGGAAAGACAACAAUCUUACUAAAAAGUCUACAGCAUUAACAAAUCAAUUAAGAGAGCCGGAUAGCUUUAUAUAUCAAUCAAGCGAAAUUAUGGGGCUGAGCAUUUAACACAAAUUCCAGACCCGUCACUACAAAAUCUAGAACGAGAAGCAGAAUUUGAAAACAGAAUUUCCAAAAAUGAACUGCAAAACGCAACGAAAUGAAUAGAGACGAAAGGAAUGGAAAACAAACCCGAGUUUGAAACAAUAUCGAGAAUAAAGUGGAGAGUUUAACACUUAGAUUACUCCCGAGCCUCUUGAUUAGCCGGACGAGCUCCUCUUUUGAAGAAAAUUCCGCCAUUAGAGAACCCUAAGACCCUGUGAUAUCGAAGAAUCCACGUCCGCCGCGGGGGUUGCUCAGUGGAUUACUAUUACGGCGGGAAGAGAAUACAUUUCCAUUCUGGUCUCCUCCAACCAUGAGAGCUUUCAAAGGAUUUUUUAAUAUUAUUAUUUUGAAAAGGAUUUUUUUAGUUUCAAAUAAGAGUUUCUGAAAAAUAAAAAAAUUGGCUAACUAUUUCGUCUAACAAAAUUCAUUAUUUUUCCAUCCAAUGUAAAUAUUUUAUUCUUAUUCAGUGUGUUUUUUUCAUCUUUUUUAAAUGAAAUAAGUUUUCUACUCUAUUGCUAAAUAUAUAGUUCAAUUGAUAUAAUGUUUAAGUUUUAAAAUUAAGUUGUUUGACUCAUCUAUCUUGUAUACAUACAUAGUUAAAAUAGUAAAUAAAUAUCACCUUUGAUAAAUUUUAACCUUGAAUAAUGAAAAGUUUUACAUUGAUUAAUUGUAAGUAAUAUUUACUCUACUUUUUAUACCAAGUCAAAUUUUACUCUUUAUUUUAUUAAAAGAAAUAACUUUUUUGGAACAAUCUUAAAGUUAGAAGAGCAAAAUUAGAAUUUUCCUGAGGUUCAGCCAAUUAACUAAAACUUAAUUCAAAAUUUUAAUUAAGGAUACUUAUGUAUAAUCUAACCAUUAUUAUUGUUAUAUUAUUAAAAAAUUUCAUGAUUUUUUUUCUCUAUUAAUGGAGCAAAAUCGACCUGAAAAUUACAAUGAAUUAUAAUACUAUGUUUUCUUAAUUUAUCAUUGAUUUACAUCCAAGAAGUCAGAUAGUAAAAUCCUUUAUUAUUUUCUUGUAAAAAGGUAUACAUAAGGAUUAGCCCAUAAACAGUUAAAAAAAUUUAAACCCAAAAGGAAUUUUAGAUCUAAAAAUUUAAUUUUUUUUUUAUGUAAUUUCUAUUUUUAAUUAUAUAAACUUAAAAACUUAAAAUAUCAUAAUCAAUUAGCUAAACUCAAAUUGAGUGGUUAUUUAAAAAUGGACGGUAUAUCUAACAGUCUUAACACUUUGCGUGUUUUUAGAAUAAGGUUAAAAUUAGAGCCUGUUUUUAAAUAUUAGAUUUAGAUCAGCUUAAUCAGUAAUGUAAUCUUAAUUAUAUAUAGAAAGUGUUAACUACUAAUGGAAUAAUAAUCCAAAUGGGAUAUGGUUGUGGGAAGUUGUUCUUUGUUCCCACUUUUUCCAAUCAAGUUAGGUCUUGUAUUCUUCGCUUUUUCUUCAACAAGUUUUCAUCAGCCUAACCCUAUCUUCUUCAUCUCCCCAAAAUUCUUCUUUCUUCUUUUGCAAGGUGCAACAUUUGGAGGUUAAAUAUUAAAUCUCUCUAACUUAGCGAUACAAUAAUUAAAUUUACCUUCAACUAUUAGUUUAGUUUAAGUUUUUUUUCAUGAAUUGACGGUUUAAUAUAGUAUCAGAGAGGUCCUUGCAUUGUCGUUUCCUUUCCAAUUAAAAUUGAUUUUCACUUGUUGGACAUUUCUACAAUAAUUAAAUUUGUCUUUAACCACUAGCUUAAGCUUUUAGAUGAAUUGGUUGUUUAAUAGUUUACACCUAUAUUAGUUUAAGUUUUUGGAUAGACUGAUGGUUUAAAAUGGUAUUAGAGAAUCCCAGAAUUCUUUGAGAUUAUUUUCUUAGCCUCGUGUUUAAGUACUUAUCAUGUUAUUUCCUCCUCAAUUAAUAUUAAUUUUCACUUAUUAAGUCUUUCUUGAUAAGUGUUAGAUAUUAAAUUUGUUUUCACCUAUCAACUUAGUGAUUUAAGGUAUGUAGUCAAAGUUUGGCCAAGUUAGAUAAAAUUAGUGUCGAUCUUUGUUACGGUAGGUAGAAAUUAAAAUUAAUUAACAAUAUUGACAUUCAAACCACUCUUAUUUUCUUUUGGUUCACACAUUCCUACAACUCAUACCUUCUCCUACCUAAGUCACUAACCACACUUCUUAUUCUCACCCACCUAAUAGCAUUAACAUUAUUUACUUGUGUAUUAGGCAUGUGAUACGUUGAAUCACUUGUUACAGUUCCUGACUUUCUUUAUCAUAAGAAAAGUUUGUUGAUUUUUAUAAAAAAAAUUACAUUCUUUUGCAAAUUUGCAAUUUGAAUUUUAUACCAUAAUUUUAAAAUAUGCGAUGUUGAAAAACUACAAAAUAACGUAUUUUUUGUAUUAUGUAUGACUCCCACUCGUCUAUGUACAUCCUAUGCACUUCAAACGUGUCAAAGAGUUCAUACAUUGACAUAGGAACACUCAUUUGAAUUUUGAUUGACUCAAAAUCUAACGAGUCUUGAUUAUCUGUCAUUCAUAUGUGUUAAUUUAACUUUAGAGAUGUUUUCAAACUCUUCAAUAAACCUUAUUUUGAAUUUCCAUCAUGCACUAUCUAGCUUCUACUAAGCAUGUCCCUAACACUUCCCUCUCAACCUCUACUUUAACUUGUUGAUUGACAUGACAUAGACAUGCUUUUCAACGUAUGUUUCUUUCAUGUUUCCUCCCAGAAAUCAAUCAGUGAAGGAAAACGAAGGCCUUGGGCCUUGGCUAGAAGCAGUUAUCUACCCUAGGCUUAGCUUUUCUUCUGCUACUUCUCGUGCAACCACUUAUUUUACCGAUCUCACAACCUCUCUUUCUAAUAGCAUGGACAAUCUCGCAGCUUUAAUUUGCACCUUUCCACUCUGUAUUAUGAAUCCCCCUCUUAUCUUUCUCUCUCUCCCUCCUUGGUCUCGCCCUUUUUCUCUCUUCGGCGAGGAGUAGUCUUAACCCAUUAUCAAAUGAAUUAGCAUGUGUGCAUAAGAUAGUGUUCUAAUGCUACCUAUAAUUAAGUAUCAUAGUUAUAUGUUGUUGAAUAAAGGAUAUAUUGGAUAAGUGCAUGAAUGUGUUAAAAUAUUACAAUUGAUCUAGAGAUUAUUGAGCUAGAUCAAACAUAAAUUUAAUCAAAUAUGAACUAGUUAAAAAGUAAUUAUCUUCGCACUGACACAUGUUGCCAAAGAAAAUACAAAGUCCAAAGUGCUAUCUGCCCAAAUGUGUUGAAUAGUUUCAAAUAUAACCACACCCAACUAAAAAAGUCUGGAAAAAUUAACUUAGUUGAUCACAUCCAUCAAAUUAAACCGGUGAACCUAAUGUGUUCAAACUUCAAAGAAAUUAAAUUCUUGUGUAUGAUAUGUUGAUGAGUAGGUAUAACACCUUGAUGAGUAGGUACAACAAGUCAAAGUGUCAAGCCGAUUUGGGUCGGUGUAACAUGUGUCUUAUCCUGUUCCAUUUAAAGUUGACAACAUCAUUUUAUUGUUAGGUUAUACAGGGUAACUAAAUACUCUCUCAAUUAUUCCUUGUUUUAUUACAUUGUUAUCUUUUAAAAAUAAUAAAGGAUAUAUAACAGUAUUUAAGAAUAUUUGUGAAGCAGAAUCACGAUGGAAAUUAAUUUAAAAAGAGAUGUAUUUAUUAAAAGAAUCUCAAUUGUGUAAUACACUGUCUAAGCUUAAAAAAAUAGAUUGAGUGUAUCCAAGACCAACUGAAAAGAUAUCUAAUUAAGUUUCGUACAACACCAAAAAGAUCUUGAAACUCAGAUUAAAGAAAAGACCUUCACUUUAAUAAUUGACCACUCACAUAAGCUCCACCACUAGAAUUAGAAAAUAGGAGGAGAAAAAAAUUAAAUAUUCACAAAUUUCAUAAUGGUGUCUAAUCUUCUUCUUCUUUUUUUUUUCCUUUUAAACUUUAAAUUCACCCAUUAUAUAUCAAUUGAGUUAUGGUAUGAGUUAGUUAUUAAAUGUAAAAGAAUGUUCUUGGUUGGUAUACCUAUGAGUGUUUAAAUUUUGAUUUGAUAAGAACAAAAUAUUAGAAAAGGGGUGGCAGGAGCAGGGGGACAUGAUCUCCUAAAAUCAGAGAUUUUUCACUUUAAUUAUAAGUUUAUAACAUGGAAGAAAAAUAAUGAUAAUGAUAAUAAUAAACAAGGCCAAAUUAAAGAAGGAAAUUACAGAAAGAGACAAGGAGUUUUCAAAACUUGGGAGCAAUUCUGAACAAAACUAUCUGAAUCACAGUGGUAAUUAAGGAAAUUCCUCUCCCUACUCACAAGACUUGGAGGAAGCACAACCUCCAUGGAAGCUCCCAAUAGAUACCGUUGCGUGUGGCUCUGGCAGGUGUUGCAAAGCAAGCACCGGACGUGCCGCAGGGCCAAGAAAUUCGCGCUGUGAACCGAUUUGUCGCACUUCCCGCACAAAUACGCCUCGUCGGCUUCGCAAUACAGCGACGCCCUGGAACCGCAUAGCUCACACCGUACAGGAUCGCCACCGCCGGCUGCCCCGUCAUCGGUGGUCCGACGUUGCCGGACGGCGACUUGGGUCGUUUCUUCCUGUUCUACACCUUUGCACAUGAUUGUUUAAUUUGUUGGAAAUGGAAGCUUGAUUGUCAAGGAAAUGGGGAUUUUGAGGGUGUUGAUUUAUAUAUAGAAGGUUGGUAAAUAGGACAAGAAGGAAAAGCAAGUUUCAUUAUUUAUAAUCAAUCAUACCCUUUAUGUUAUUUUUUUAUUUAGAUAUAAAAUAAAACAUUAUAAAAUUUUACAAUUCAA